AUUGAACGCUGGCGGCAUGCCUUACACAUGCAAGUCGAACGGUCAGCACGGGAGCAAUCCUGGUGGCGAGUCGGCGAACGGUGAGUAAUGUAUCGGAACGUACCUUCAGUGGGGGAUAACGUAGCGAAAGUUUACGCUAAUACCGCAUAUUCUGUGAGCAGGAAAGCAGGGGAUCGCAAGACCUUGCGCUGAUUGAGCGGCCGAUAUCAGGAUUAGCUAGUUGGUGAGGUAAAGGCUCACCAAGGCGACGAUCUGUAGCGGGUCUGAGAGGAUGAUCCGCCACACUGGAACUGAGACACGGUCCAGACUCCUACGGGAGGCAGCAGUGGGGAAUUUUGGACAAUGGGCGCAAGCCUGAUCCAGCCAUGCCGCGUGAGUGAAGAAGGCCUUCGGGUUGUAAAGCUCUUUCAGCCGGGAAGAAAACGCAUGGGUUAAUACCCUGUGUGGAUGACGGUACCGGAAUAAGAAGCACCGGCUAACUACGUG
rnacentral:rRNA from 1 species